ACGGUAACAGGUUAAGCUGACGAGUGGCGAACGGGUGAGUAAUGUAUCGGAACSUGCCCAGUCGUGGGGGAUAACUGCUCGAAAGAGCAGCUAAUACCGCAUACGACCUGAGGGUGAAAGCGGGGGAUCGCAAGACCUCGCGCGAUUGGAGCGGCCGAUAUCAGAUUARGUAGUUGGUGGGGUAAAAGCCUACCAAGCCAACGAUCUGUAGCUGGUCUGAGAGGACGACCAGCCACACUGGGACUGAGACACGGCCCAGACUCCUACGGGAGGCAGCAGUGGGGAAUUUUGGACAAUGGGCGCAAGCCUGAUCCAGCCAUGCCGCGUGCGGGAAGAAGGCCUUCGGGUUGUAAACCGCUUUUGUCAGGGAAGAAAAGGUUCUGGUUAAUACCUGGGACUCAUGACGGUACCUGAAGAAUAAGCACCGGCUAACUACGUGCCAGCAGCCGCGGUAAUACGUAGGGUGCAAGCGUUAAUCGGAAUUACUGGGCGUAAAGCGUGCGCAGGCGGUUAUGCAAGACAGAGGUGAAAUCCCCGGGCUCAACCUGGGAACUGCGUUUGUGACUGCAUAGCUAGAGUACGGUAGAGGGGGAUGGAAUUCCGCGUGUAGCAGUGAAAUGCGUAGAUAUGCGGAGGAAYACCGAUGGCGAAGGCAAUCCCCUGGACCUGUACUGACGCUCAUGCACGAAAGCGUGGGGAGCAAACAR
rnacentral:rRNA from 1 species